UUUCAAAUUGCUACUUUUCCACAGGGAGGAAGGCUGCUAGAUGUAAUGAUUCAACAGUAUCAUCUGAAAAGAGAAAAUAAAUGGUUAAGACCAAACUGUGUACCUAUGUUCAGUGAAUGAGCUAUUAACAAAAGAGACAAGAAUAAAGAACAAAAGAAAUCUAUUAUCAGAAGCUAUGUACAAACACUGACACUGUUACAUAUCGAUGGAUCAGGUUCCCAUCCCCUCUUCGAAGAAUACCCUCCCCCCAUGAUGUGAGAUGGGUCUGAACGUUCUUUCGAAGUUCCUUAUUCAUUCUCUUUCUUUGAUUUCCUAACAAGUUCUUUACUUCAUGGAAAAGAUUAAAAUCACUCGGUUUUAAAACUUUUGAAUGAAGUGAUAGUAGAUCAUAAGAUCAUCUGUCCCAACAGAAGAUCUUACUUUAAAAAAAACGGAUCAAAUAGUUCAAAAGAAGUGAAGGAUGCUGGAAUCCCAGGUAACGACCUGGUCGAAUAAGAUGCCAGAAUUGUGACAUUGAAAGGUGGAUGUUUAGACAUUCUUGCCACAUAUUCUUUACUUAAUAAACUCAAAGAACUUUUAGAUUAAUGAGGAAUUUCAGAUUACAGUAAAGCUUAUCUUUUCUCGCUGAUAAAAUAUUCUUCAAAUAGGAGGUCGCACUCAUCUUCACGUUAGCGAUUAUACUAUAUUUGUAUGUAACUUGUAAUAAUAAAUCCAUUUUGUUUACAAUCCUUUAUUAUGGAUCAUCGAAAUGUGAAAGAAAAUAGCACUCUUUGUAAGACAUACUUGGCUGUCCAGACCGAGGGUGAGCAGCAUGAAGAAAAAGAG